rnacentral:lncRNA from 1 species
GAAAUAUAAAGAAUGAUUCAGGGAAAUUUGAUUCAAAAUAGUGGCACCCAGAAUAUCACGCUGCAUCCUUUACAUGGAAAGACACACUUGGUGGGAAUGAUGCCCGGAGACAUGGGGUGUGAGAAUCCUUUUGGGAACAUGUGGACUGAAGUUGAAGACGCUGAAACAGAUAGUGGUCAUAGCAAUAUGGAUGUGAAGCUUAGUGGCUAAAAAUGUCGUGCUUAGCAAUUGGGAAGACGCUGCUGAAACAGAUAGUGGUUAUGGCAAUAUGGAUGUGAAGCUUAGUGGCUAAAAAUGCCGUGCUUCGCAAUUGGGAAGACGCUCUUUUCUGGGUCAGCCAGGGAGGAGUCUUGGUGGUCCAUUUUGUUGUCAUUUAUGUGUCCGCGUUAUUUGCAGGGUUGUAAUCCUGAUAUUGUCUCGUGAUCAAACCCUCUUAUCCUUUCAUUUUGGCUAGUUAUUUUAGUGUCCAGGUUAUUUGCAGGUUUGUAAUCCGGAUAUUGUCUUGUGAUCAAACCCUCUUAUCCUUUCAUCUUUUUUUAGUUGGUUUAGUCGUAAUGAUUUGUUUAGUGUUGUCUAAGUUUGUUUUAUUUUCAUUCUAGGAUUGUACUCCAGUUAGUUUGUUUUUUUGUUGUUAGAACUGUUUCAUGCAAAU